GACGAACGCUGGCGGCGUGCCUAAUACAUGCAAGUAGAACGCUGAAGGAGGAGCUUGCUUCUCUGGAUGAGUUGCGAACGGGUGAGUAACGCGUAGGUAACCUGCCUGGUAGCGGGGGAUAACUAUUGGAAACGAUAGCUAAUACCGCAUAAGAGUAGAUGUUGCAUGACAUUUGCUUAAAAGGUGCAAUUGCAUCACUACCAGAUGGACCUGCGUUGUAUUAGCUAGUUGGUGGGGUAACGGCUCACCAAGGCGACGAUACAUAGCCGACCUGAGAGGGUGAUCGGCCACACUGGGACUGAGACACGGCCCAGACUCCUACGGGAGGCAGCAGUAGGGAAUCUUCGGCAAUGGACGGAAGUCUGACCGAGCAACGCCGCGGGAGUGAAGAAGGUUGUCGGAUCGUAAAGCUCUGUUGUAAGAGAAGAACGAGUGUGAGAGUGGAAAGUUCACACUGUGACGGUAGCUUACCAGAAAGGGACGGCUAACUACGUG
rnacentral:rRNA from 1 species